ACGAAGGGGGCUAGCGUUGUUCGGAAUUACUGGGCGUAAAGCGCACGUAGGCGGAUUUGUCAGUCAGGGGUGAAAUCCCGAGGCUCAACCUCGGAACUGCCUCCGAUACAGCAAGUCUCGAGUCCGGAAGAGGUGAGUGGAAUUCCUAGUGUAGAGGUGAAAUUCGUAGAUAUUAGGAAGAACACCAGUGGCGAAGGCGGCUCACUGGUCCGGUACUGACGCUGAGGUGCGAAAGCGUGGGGAGCAAACAGG
rnacentral:rRNA from 1 species